rnacentral:rRNA from 1 species
AGUGAACGCUGGCGGUAUGCCUAACACAUGCAAGUCGAACGGCAGCACGGGAGCUUGUAGCUGGUGGCGGGGGGCGGAGGGGGGAGUGAUACAUCGGAACCGGACCCGUAGUGGUGGUGGGGCCUACGAAAGCCGGAUUAAUGCCGCAAACGAACAACUGCUUAAAGAGGAGGCCGUGCCUGUUUCGCGCUUUAGGGAUGGCAUGGGCCUGUUUAGCUAGUUGGAGGGGUAAAGGCCUACCAAGGCGACGAUCAGUAGCUGGUCUGAGAGGACGAACAGCCACACUGGAACUGAGACACGGCCCAGACUCCUACGGGAGGCAGCAGUGGGGAAUAUUGGACAAUGGGCGGAAGCCUGAUCCAGCAAUGCCGCGUGGGUGAAGAAGGCCUUCGGGUUGUAAAGCACUUUUGUUCGGAAAGAAAACCUUGACGCUAAUACGGUCGUGGGAUGACGGUACCGAAAGAAUAAGCACCGGCUAACUACGUG